rnacentral:lncRNA from 1 species
GAUAAGUGUAUUUUCUACACUUAUUCGGGACUCUAAACUAUAUAAUUUUAUUGUUCUUUUGGCAAAAUAUAAUCUAAAUUUUAUUGUAUUAAUUUUCUUAGGUAAAAUAUGUGCUUGGACGAAGAAGGAAAGAAAAGAAGCAAAAAUUGGCGAAAAGUAACAAAAUCCAAAACACGGGGAUUAAAUUGGCCAUUGAUGGAAGUUGGAGGCCAAGGCAUACAAGUCAAAAAGUGGAGGAUUUGAGAUGCAAUUAUUGAGGGACUUCGCUGCAAAUGACACAAAAUCCAUUUAUUUGGCGGCCAAUUACAGUGAAUUGGGCGCUUGUGGGCCAUUUUAAGUAUUGGGGUCAUUUUAAAUGCUUCUCCAAACUUCAGGGACCAAAGCUGAAAAUUUUC